rnacentral:rRNA from 1 species
AGUGAACGCUGGCGGUAGGCCUAACACAUGCAAGUCGAACGGCAGCACAGUAAGAGCUUGCUCUUACGGGUGGCGAGUGGCGGACGGGUGAGGAAUACAUCGGAAUCUACUUUUUCGUGGGGGAUAACGUAGGGAAACUUACGCUAAUACCGCAUACGACCUACGGGUGAAAGCAGGGGAUCUUCGGACCUUGCGCGAUUGAAUGAGCCGAUGUCGGAUUAGCUAGUUGGCGGGGUAAAGGCCCACCAAGGCGACGAUCCGUAGCUGGUCUGAGAGGAUGGUAACCGCCACUGGAGAGGGGAAACGGACACGAGGCCUACGGGAGGGCCCAGAGGGGGAAAUUUGGCAAAAGGGGCAAAAAUCUUACACACCGAGCCCGCGGGGGGAAAAAAGGCCGGGGGGUUGAAGACCGUUUUUUGGGAAAAAAAAGAAGAAGGGUUAGACCCCGCGGUUUUGACGGUACCCCAAAAAUAAGAACCGGCUAACUUCGUG